GAUGUGGGGGGUUCAUUUUGCCGGCUUUCACAAGUCAGCUCCCCUUAAAUGUAUUAGCCGGUGCCCUCUAACCGUCUAUUGGUGUGAUAAUUAUCUACGCGUGGACUAUUAGAUUUGGUUGCACUGCUUCUAAUCGUCCUCUAUGGACAAUAUAAUGACAUUUUGACCUCAAAUCAGGUAGGACUACCCGCUGAACUUAA
rnacentral:misc_RNA from 1 species